rnacentral:rRNA from 1 species
UAAUGGAAUCGCUUGAUUCCAUAGCGAACUGCUCAGUAACAAGUGAUUAACUUACCCUUCAGAGGAGAAUAAUCUCGGGAAACUGAGGCUAAUACUCCAUAUUUGGGAUCGCCUGGAAUGGUAUCCCAUUGAAAAGAUAUGUCAAAAUGUAGACUGUUCGCUGAAGGAUAGGAUCGCUUUUGAUUAUGGUUGUUGGUGAGGUAAUGGCUCACCAAGCCUAUGAUCAAUAAGGGCCGUGAGAGCGGGAGCCCUGAGAUGGGGACUGAGACAAUGCCCCAGGCCUUACGAGGUGCAGCAGGCGCGAAACCUUUACAAUGGACGAAAGUGUGAUAAGGUUACCCAAAGUGCCAUUGAUGCAAAAGCAAUUUGGCUGUUGGAUGUGUUUAGUGGACCAUCCGAGGAAGGAGAGGGCAAGGCUGGUGCCAGCCGCCGCGGUAAAACCAGCUCUUCAAGUGGUUGGGGCUUUUAUUGGGCUUAAAGCGUCCGUAGCCUGUUUGACAAGUUCCUGGUUAAAUCCGGUAGCUUAACUAUUGGACUGCUAGGAAUACUAUCUUACUAGAGGGCGGGAAAGGUCUGAGGUACUCCGGGGGGAGCGGUGAAAUGUGAUAAUCCUCGGGGGACCACCAGCGGCGAAGGCGUCAGACUGGAACGCGCCUGACGGUGAGGGACGAAAGGUAGGGGAACGAACGGGAUUAGAUACCCCGGUAGUCCUACCCGUAAACGAUGCGCGCUAGAUGUUGGUUCUGCUCAGAGCAGUAUCAGUGCCACAGGGAAACCAUUAAGCGCGCCGCCUGGAAAGUACGCUCGCAAGAGUAAAACUUAAAGGAAUUGACGGGGGAGCACCACAAGGGGUGAAGCCUGCGGUUUAAUUG